UACGUAGGUGGCAAGCGUUGUCCGGAUUUACUGGGCGUAAAGAGCGCGCAGGCGGUCGUUUAAGUCGAAUGUGAAAGCCCCCGGCUUAACUGGGGAGGGUCAUUCGAUACUGAUCGACUUGAAGGCAGGAGAGGGAAGCAGAAUUCCCGGUGUAGUGGUGAAAUGCGUAGAUAUCGGGAGGAAUACCAGUGGCGAAGGCGGCUUCCUGGCCUGUUCUUGACGCUGAGGCGCGAAAGCUAGGGGAGCAAACAGG
rnacentral:rRNA from 1 species